CCACUUUCUAUCAUCUAGCUACAUUGUGGCGAAGCAAUGUUCACCUUGCCCUUCGGAUUGGUGGUCGUUUAUUUCCUGAUGCAGGUCAAAUAUUCGAAGAGCUUUACAGUCCCCAGUGGGAGUUCCUCGUCAUGAAAGGAAGAAAAUGAAACAAGAAACAGAGAAACGCGUCCUCACCAUAUUCCUUGUUGAGAUGCUUUCGUAGAACAAAUGGCAUAUGAUGAUCCAUUGUCUUUCUAAAAUAACACUCCAAGUGUCGAAGUUAAAGGAUGAUUUAGACUUCGAUGUGGUUCCAAACAUGAGAAUCGCCAAGUCGAUCAUCAGGAAGUAACUGACAUUUGAAGAAGGCCUAAGUCAGUUCUAAAGUGAGAGAGAAUAAAAAUGAAGUUUUACGAGAUGAGAAGUCCUAGUCAUAACCAUAUAGUUUUCAGAUAGAGAUUCAUGAUGGUUGGCUUCCCCCGCCAAUUGGGAUGGAGGAAAGCUAACACUUGUACUGUCUUCAAUGGGGAAUGGUAAGUGGGAUGUCGUCUUUUCCGGUGGCCGACCCCUUUCUUUGCUUCUUCCUUUUUGUUUUUCUUCUUUCGACUGUCAUUCGAACACCUUACUUGAUAGGAGGGGUGGAGUCUGAAAAUUUCAGACGCAAUUCGCAAGUUCAAACUCCAUCUCUAUAUUGAAAAGCAUACCAAAAUUAUUUUAUUUAAAAGGCUUUGGGUUUUUACCAUCUAAGUUCUCAUAAAAUCUGAGUUUCUGUUUUUUAUUCAUGAAGGGACCAUGUAUAAAUUAAUGUCCAAAAUAAGUGAUCCCACCCAUGUUUUUUACUCAAUAAAAUAUCAUAAACACAUUCAUCAACUUCAAAUGUACAAAGCAUAGUGCAGUUGGAUGAUUUCCUUCUAAUGGCAGAUAAAGCGAAAAGAAGCAUGACUGCAUCUUGCAUGGCAGCGGCUCCAUCUGCGUCUUUUUUCACUAGGACCCAUUCUCGAGCUCACCAUGCAACAUAAGGCUGUAGCAUACCUCGCCCAUUAUGUAGCCUGGUUAUGCCUCCUAUAUAAUUUCUGACACGCUUGAGAGACGCUUUAUAAUUUCUGAUAUGUCUUUCCCAUUUGCAUCAAGAAAAGGGAAUUGUUGAACUAUUAAAUCGAUCUCUAUAAAGGAUAAACAAAAUGGCCAUGUUCAUUAACAAAUUGGCCCUCCAUGUGUAAUUUCAUCACUGGGGAUGCACAGGAUUUCGAGCUGCUCGGCUCCCUUAUUUAAAAAACAUUCUUUCUAGUUGAAAAAAAAAAAAAAAAAACAGAUUCCUUGUUCUUGAGAAGUUGAGCUCGAACCAGGCAAGCUCAGAUCAUUUACACUCCUAUAAGAUCGUCUAAAGCGUGCAUAUGAUAUAGAGGCAGAUCCAGGGAGGGCCAGUAGGUGGGUCCUUUAGUCAAUGAGAACGAGAACAGUUUGCAACUGUUGUAUGAAUCUGCCCAAAAGAUUGAUACAUAUUCAUGGAACACCCAAAAAACUGUUUUAUGAAUCUAUCCCAAUUUUUAAGACAUAUUUAUGGAACAGCCUCUUAAUAGCUGUUCAGCAACAAUAACAGGAUGUUAGUUAUGAUUCCAUGUAUCUGCCCCAAUUUUUGAAGUAAAUACAUAGAACAGUAACAGUUGCCAAACAACCCCUUAAGGCUCAAGUGGACCUAAAGCUGGCCCAACUUGCUGAUGAACACCCUUAUCAUGCUGUGCCACUAGGCACAGUGCUGAAAUGGAGUUGGUCCUGUGCAAGGCAACAACGGAAAGAGGAGAUCCUCAGAUGUAGGUCCAGAAUGCAGGUAAUAAACAAGAUUUUCGUUUUUUCUUUUUUUU